rnacentral:rRNA from 1 species
CCUACGGGCGGCAGCAGUGAGGAAUAUUGGUCAAUGGUCGGGAGACUGAACCAGCCAAGCCGCGUGAGGGAUGAAGGUACAGAGUAUCGUAAACCUCUUUUGUCAGGGAACAAAGGCGGGGACGUGUCCCCGGAUGAGUGUACCUGAAGAAAAAGCAUCGGCUAACUCCGUGCCAGCAGCCGCGGUAAUACGGAGGAUGCGAGCGUUAUCCGGAUUUAUUGGGUUUAAAGGGUGCGCAGGCGGUCUGUUAAGUCAGCGGUAAAAGCCCGGGGCUCAACCCCGACCCGCCGUUGAAACUGGCAGUCUCGAGUUGGAGAGAAGUAGGCGGAAUGCGCGGUGUAGCGGUGAAAUGCAUAGAUAUCGCGCAGAACUCCGAUUGCGAAGGCAGCAUGCCGGCUCCACACUGACGCUGAGGCACGAAAGCGUGGGUAUCGAACAGGAUUAGAUACCCGAGUAGUC